AUUAAGAACUCAUUGUGACUUAAUGGGUGGCCUUAAAAGACAAUGUGUUCAAGAAAAUCUGCACCAAAUUUUUCAAUAAGCGUACAGCUUUCUUAAAAGAAAAGAUAACUGCCUUGGAGAACACUGGUCAUUUAAAAACCUUCCCCUCUCGGAACGUCACAGGAGUGCCUCGAAUGGGCAGACUGACCUGCAGCCCUACAGGGAAGUGAACCCAGGCAAAUGUCUUUCCAGGCUUCUCCGAUGCAGGAGGGAGGGGCCCCCGGAAGGUGGUGGUGGUAGUGAUGAUGCCGAGUUGCCAACAAACAAGGAAGCACAGGAUCUUUCCAAGUUGUUUUUGAGGUGAACUGCCUUACAGGGAUAAGGUCUACCUUGCCCGCCAUGCUGAGUCUCAGAGGGCUUUAUCUUUUCUCCUUGAAUCACAAGACCCCUCCCACACUUCUCCUGCUGACCAUGAGGUGUUUCUGCCAGAGGGAAGUGACAGGAAGACAAUUUGCUCAGACCAGCCAACAGACCUUUGAUCUUGGGAGGAUGGGCAGAGAGGCCAGAGUCCAGGACUGCAGAGAAGAGCUGAGGUUUUCAGCAGUCAUCAGAGGAUUCCUUGCUUCUGAUUGAAUAGAUAAAGUUUGAAGUCCAAGAAUCUGCACUGUUUACAAAGCAGUAGUUUUACUGAUGGAGUGGUCACAGUUUGUAGCAGCAGACCAAGGGACACUGCAUUUCAUCCUCUCCAUUGGCCCAGGUCUCCCAAAGACAACCCCCUGAGCGUCCCUGUGGUCUGCUGCCACCAUCGCCACACCUGUAGCUGCAACUCGUAUGGCUGCGGGUUUGGGAAGGGCUGUUGCCAGCAGAAGAGCUGCUGCUGGAAGCAAUGCUGCUUCUAAGUGGCCUGGCCCGGCCCUGCUUCUGGGGUAAGAGAUGCUGGAAGCUGUUCUCUGCAGUUAAGGAGACUUCCCUUCCUCUUCCCCCUUGCUGUCACCUGGAUCUCCUGGGACUUACUCUUUUGGACAAUAUCUCUGGUUUUUGAACUCUGUGCUCCUCUCUUUCAAAAUGAUGGUCUUAAACCUUUUUAUCUGAAAAACAUUCCAAACAAACAAGAAAUGGUUUGAAAAAAAUUCCAAACAAACAAGAAAUGGCCAUUACAGAGCUGUAAACCCAGCCAAAGGGAUCACAGUUCUGAGUGUUCUAUCUGAUGGGUGUUUUGCAGCCUUCCAACUUGGUACUUCUACCUCUCUGUGUGCACACUAUGUCUAUUACUCUUACCUGCUCUAGUCCUAUUACUAUUGUUUCCAGUCAUCACAUAGCUCCUGCCUAAAUUUCCUAAUAAAACAUGAAAACCGACCCUCAGGAAUUCUGCUUUUAUUCUGCUAUGGCAACAACAGCUUUCCAUCUUCUUGAAAAAUUUGAAUGACCCACAUGCAGAGACAGCAAUGCACGCACAGGGCUUCUGGUGUCCAGGCCUCCCAGCCACACGCCGUUUUCCCAUCUCAUGAGAUGGAUGAUUCCGUAAGAUAAUUCAACUCCUGCUACCUUGUGUACCUCUUCCCUAAAGGCCCUGUGACCCUGCUUAUCUGUCAAAAGUGCAUCACAUUCCUCCAGUGACAACUUUCUCAACCAGAUCUACAGAUUUCACCUAUGUCAAGGCCUAAAUAUAGGCAAAGGGCAAGUCCAAACAAGCUAGAACUAUCACCUUAUUUAUUUCUUCUCAGAAAUGGCUAUUGUCUUGCCAUUUCUAUCUCCUUAUUUCUGUUAUUUGUCUAUGAGUUCUGUUUCUGUUGUUGUUUCUGAGUCAUUCUAUGUACAAAACAAAACAUUUAAAAUAUUUCUCCAUAAGGUGUUCUUACCAGUCACAAAACCCUACACCUUACAAAGCAAACCUGUGUUUUAAUUCAAAGGAGUAAUAAUCUUUCUCUUUAAUGAGAU